rnacentral:rRNA from 1 species
GACACAACUCUCGGCAAUGGAUAUCUCGGCUCUUGCAUCGAUGAAGAGCGCAGCAAAAUGUGAUACGUGGUGCGAAUUGCAGAAUCCAGCGAACCAUCGAGUCUUUGAACGCAAGUUGCGCCCGAGGCCAGCCGGCCAAGGGCACGUCCGCCUGGGCGUCAAGC